rnacentral:rRNA from 1 species
AUUGAACGCUGGCGGCAUGCUUCACACAUGCAAGUCGAACGGCAGCGCGGGCUUCGGCCUGGCGGCGAGUGGCGAACGGGUGAGUAAUGCAUCGGAACGUGCCCAGUAGUGGGGGAUAGCCCGGCGAAAGCCGGAUUAAUACCGCAUACGACCUGAGGGUGAAAGCGGGGGACCGAAAGGCCUCGCGCUAUUGGAGCGGCCGAUGUCGGAUUAGCUAGUUGGUGGGGUAAAGGCUUACCAAGGCGAUGAUCCGUAGCUGGUCUGAGAGGACGACCAGCCACACUGGGACUGAGACACGGCCCAGACUCCUACGGGAGGCAGCAGUGGGGAAUUUUGGACAAUGGGGGCAACCCUGAUCCAGCCAUGCCGCGUGCGGGAAGAAGGCCUUCGGGUUGUAAACCGCUUUUGUUCGGGAAGAAAUCCUCUGGGCUAAUACCCCGGGGGGAUGACGGUACCGGAAGAAUAAGCACCGGCUAACUACGUG